AAUUUAUAAAGGAAACAGGUUUAAUUGACUCACAGUUCAGCAUGGCUGGGGAGGCCUCCAGAAACUUAAAAUCAUGGCAAAGGCAAGGGGAAGCAAGGCAUCUUCUUCACAAGGCAGCAGGAGGGAGAAGUACAAGUAAAGGGGGAAGAGCCACUUAUAAAACCAUCAGAUCUCAUGAGAACUCACUAUCAUGAGAAUAGCAUGGGGGAAGGCCCCCCCGCCCAUGACUCAGUUACCUUCACCUGAUGUCUCCUUGACAUGUGGGAUUACAAUUUAAGAUGAGAUUUGGGUGAGGACACAAAGCCUAACCAUAAAGGGGGACUUUGAUUAAAGGUGUUAGGACGACUGACAGCCACUUGAUAAAUUAGUACCUUACUUUACAUACCAAGAAAAAGUCUACAUGGAUCAAAGAUUUUAAAUGUUUAAAACAAAUAUAAAAAGCACAUUUAGAAAAUAUGAGUGAUUCCUUUAUAACCAUGGGAUAGGAAGGUUUUUGUAAUUAAGACUCAAAAGCCCAGAAGCCUUGAAAGAAAAGAUUGACAGAUUCAAAUUGUACAAAAGGCUGGGGCAUGGUGGCUCACGCCUGUAAUCCCAGCACUUUGGGAGGCCGAGGCAGGUGGAUCACCUGAGGUCAGGAGUUUUGAGACCAGCCUGGACAACAUGGCAAAACCCCAUCUCUACUAAAAAUACAAAAAUUAGCUGGAUGUGGUGGGGCAUGCCUAUAAUCCCAGCUACUCGGGAGGCUGAGGAAGGAGAAUCACUUGAACUCAGGAGGUGGAGGUUGCAGUGAGCCGAGAUCGCGCCACUGCUCUCCAGCCUGCGUGACAGGAGCAAAAAGAAGUGCAAAUUAAGCCUCUAGUGAAUUAACAUUUUGUGUAUUUCAUAUUUAUAGAAAUAAAAACACAUCGAUGGUGAGGUUGUUGAGAAACAGGUAUAUUGCUGGUAGGCAUAUAAAAUGGUACAGUCCCUGUAUAAGGGUAAAUGCAUCUGUAACUACCCAUCUUAUCCUUUGUUCCAGCAGUUCAAUUCUGGGAAUCUGACCUACACAUAUAGCAACAGAACACAUUCGAAAUGAUGUACAAACAAGAUUAUUCACUGUGGUAUUGUUUGUAAAAACACAAGGUUGGAAGCAGUCCAAGUGUAGUUAAAGAGGAAGAGUUCAGUUAAAAAUUAUUUAGACAAGAAAUCAUUGACAAAGAUAUACAUUUAUAAAAGCCUUAAUCCAGUAGAUUAUUUUGCAUAAUGAAAAUCCAAAGUAAAACUACAAUGAGAAACCAUUUUAUACCUAUUAAAUAUUUUAAAAUUUAAUGCUAACAAGAUUAGGUAAAGUUAAUAUUCACAUGAAAUUAGUGGAGCUGCUUUUGAAAGCAGAAUGGUAGUUCAUGUCAAGAGCUAUGGUAAAAAUUGACAUUUCAUUAUCCUAAGGGAGUGAUUAAAAAGAAUAAUUAGGCCGGGCACAGUGGCUCAUGCCUGUAAUCCCAGCACUUUGGGAGGCCGAGGCAGGUGGAUCACGAGGUUAGGAGAUCAUCGAGACCAUCCUGGCUAACACCAUGAAACCCUCUCUCUACUAUAAAUACAAAAAAUUAGCCGGGCGCGGUGGUGGACGUCUGUAGUCCCAGCUACUGGGGAGGUUCAGGUAGGAGAAUGGAGUGAACCCAGGAGGCGGAGCUUGCAGUGAACUGAGAUGGUGCCAUUGCACUCCAACCUGGGUGACAAAGCGAGACUCCAUGUCAAAAAAAAAAUAAUAAUAAUAAUUAAGGCUGGGUGUGGGGGCUUUCACCUGUAAUCCCUAGCACUUUGGGAAGAGUGCAAAACCAGCCUGGGCAACAUAGCAAGACCCUAUCUCUGCCAAAAAAAAAAAAGUGAAAUAAAAAAAAAAUCUAUUGGUGUGAAACUGCUGAAUCCAGCAGAGAUUCCAACUCCAGCUUCAGGAUCAGCCCCAUGUCUUGGUGGUUGAUUUGAACCCUUGACUCUCAGUAGGCCUGAGUUGAGGGGUCCCUUGUCACACAAGUAUAUCCACAGCAUGCUUGUUUUUCACUUUGUUACCCAGUCUUUAUAAUCUGCUUACACUGACUUUUUUCUGAAGUAUAAUAGAAAUAUAGAAAAAGCCUACCAAUUGUAAAUAUAUAGCUCAAGUUUUCACAAAAUGUACACACUAAGCACCACCCAAAAUGGACUUUUCUUAGCAUCCCAAAAAUCCCUUUUGUGCCCUGUACCCACUCACUACUUCCUUUCCUACACAAAGAGAAACACUACUGACUUCUAAUCCCAAAGUUUCAUUAGUUGUAGUAAUCUCUUUAAUUGCCAAAUAAUAAACUUUUUUCUGUUUUGAGACAGUUUCGCUCUUCUUGCCCAGGCUGGAGUGCAGUGGCGUGAUCUCGGCUCACUGCAACCUCUGCCUCCCGGUUUCAAGCGAUUCUCCUGCCUCAGCCUCCCUAGUAGCUGAGAUUACAGGCAUGUGCCACCAUGCCCAGCUUAUUUUGUAUUUUUAGUAGAGACAGGGUUUCUCCAUGAUGGUCAGGCUGGUCUUGAACUCCCAGCCUUGAGUGAUCUGCUCGCCUUGACCUCCCAAAGUGCUGGGAUUACAGGUGUGAGCCACCACGCCUGGCCAAUAAUAAACUUUUGUAUGAAUAUGCUGUGCCCUCUUUAAUUUUGGUUAUUGGAAUUGUUUCAAUUUUCUCAUUGUAAGACAUUAUGAUAUUAUUUAGUGCUAUAAUAGUGUGAUAAUAUUUAAUAUAGUGAAAACCUAUAAGCGGUUCGUCUUACUAUUCAGUUACCAGACUCCUUCAAGAUGAUGAGUGGUUCCCUGUAUAGAUGUAUAGUCUUCAUCCCUAGUCCUUAGCUGAGUGCUCUACAGAGUAUAAGGUGAAUAUGAACUUGUUGAGUAAUUAACACCUAUGAAGAGAACAAACAUUUGAAGUCUUUCAGUGAAAUCCCACUCAUUUUAUUUCUUUAAAGUGUGCUUGCAUUGUGGUAGAUGGAAAGAUUUAUCAGUUAUGUAUCCCACCCUCAAUAAGUAUGGAAAAGGAGUGCGAUGGCAGUAUCCAUCACUCCUCAGAUUGACUUUCAAGGUGGCUGUGGCAUAAGAAACCUGACUUGUUUUUUCCUGCCUGGUGUUGUCAUAUCUCUCAGAAGUUGUUAAAUUCUCUCUUUGUUUCAACAGUCAAUGGCAGUAAUCCUGAAGGUGAAGAUCCUGAGAGGGAACCUGUAGAAAAUGAAGAUUAUAGAGAAAAGUCUUCAGAUGAUGAUGAAAUGGAUUCUUCCUUGGUCUCUCAGCAGCCUCCCGAUAACCAGGAAAAGGAACAACUAAAUACAUCCAUUCCACAAAAAAGGAAAGUGAGAAAUCUGUUAGUUACCAUUGAGAAUGAUACUCCUCUAGAGGAACUCUCAAAAUAUGUAGACAUCAGUAUUAUUGCCCUUACUCGAAAUCGGAGGACAAGGAGAUGGUACACUUGUCCACUGUGUGGGAAACAGUUUAAUGAAAGUUCUUACCUCAUUUCCCACCAGAGGACCCACACUGGAGAAAAACCCUAUGACUGUAAUCACUGUGGGAAAAGCUUCAAUCAUAAAACAAACCUCAAUAAACAUGAGCGAAUUCAUACAGGAGAGAAACCUUAUUCCUGUUCUCAGUGUGGAAAAAACUUUCGUCAGAAUUCUCAUCGGAGUCGUCAUGAAGGAAUCCAUAUAAGGGAGAAGAUAUUUAAGUGUCCAGAAUGUGGGAAAACCUUCCCAAAGAAUGAGGAGUUUGUGCUUCAUCUGCAGAGUCAUGAGGCUGAGAGACCAUAUGGUUGCAAAAAAUGUGGGAGAAGAUUUGGUCGGCUGUCAAACUGUACCCGGCAUGAGAAAACCCACUCAGCCUAUAAGACCCGAAAGCAGAAGUAAUACUGGGAACCCUUUCUGGGUCUGAUGGUGCUGCCUCAACCUGAGAGCUUUCAUAAGUAGUUCUGAAUUCCCAAGCUGCCUAAAAAGAUACAAAUGUGUAAAAACCUCAUUAUUGCCAAAAUUGGAUAAAUGCCCAUCUUAGCUAAAACCUCAAAUGGCUAGAAAAUUCACAGGGAAGAAAACAUUUCAAGGGCUAUACCUCAGCAUCUAGGCUUUUUGGACUAAGGAGCUUUCCUUUUUGAAGUUAUAUGAUAAUGUACAGGUCACAGAUCCCCUUUCCCAACACUUUGAAGAUGAAUCUGGAGUCUGCUUACUUGCAAGGCAAAGAGUGACUUGUGUCUAUUGAAAGUAUAUCCAUUUUCCCCCCACAUGGGGAUUCAUACUUGAGAAAUAG
rnacentral:sRNA from 1 species